AUUGAACGCUGGCGGCAGGCUUAACACAUGCAAGUCGAGCGGUAACAGGGGUAGCUUGCUACCCGCUGACGAGCGGCGGACGGGUGAGUAACGCGUAGGAAUCUGCCGAGUAGUGGGGGAUAGCCCGGAGAAAUCCGGAUUAAUACCGCAUACGCCCUUCGGGGGAAAGUGGGGGAACUUCGGUCCUCACGCUAUUCGAUGAGCCUGCGUGAGAUUAGCUAGUUGGUGGGGUAAAGGCCCACCAAGGCGACGAUCUCUAGCUGGUCUGAGAGGAUGAUCAGCCACACUGGGACUGAGACACGGCCCAG
rnacentral:rRNA from 1 species